AGCUGAUCUGUAGGUAGUGAGUUAUCUCAAUUGAUUGCUCACAGUCAGUUACAGAUGGGACCCUCUUCUAUGCUUUUCUAUGCUCUUCUCACUACUCUACUGGACCAUUCU
rnacentral:Y_RNA from 1 species